AUUGAACGCUGGCGGCAGGCCUCACACAUGCAAGUCGAACGAGUGGCGGACGGGUGAGGAAUGUCUGGGAAACUGCCUGAUGGAGGGGGAUAACUACUGGAAACGGUAGCUAAUACCGCAUACCAUCAGAUGUGCCCAGAUGGCAUUGGCGUGUGGGUGGGGUAACGGCUCACCAAGGCGACGAUCCCUAGCUGGUCUGAGAGGAUGACCAGCCACACUGGAACUGAGACACGGUCCAGACUCCUACGGGAGGCAGCAGUGGGGAAUAUUGGACAAUGGGCUAAAGCCUGAGGCAGCCAUGCCGCGUGUAUGAAGAAGGCCUUCGGGUUGUAAAGUACUUUCAGCGGGGAGGCGUUACCCGCAGAAGAAGCACCGGCUAACUCCGUGCCAGCAGCCGCGGUAAUUC
rnacentral:rRNA from 1 species